rnacentral:rRNA from 1 species
CGGUGGGGGGGGUGCUUACCAUGCAAGUCGAACGAUGAUGCCCAGCUUGCUGGGCGGAUUAGUGGCGAACGGGUGAGUAAUACGUGAGUAACCUGCCCUUGACUCUGGGAUAAGCCUGGGAAACUGGGUCUAAUACUGGAUACUACCUUUCAUCGCAUGGUGGGGGGUGGAAAGGGUUUUACUGGUUUUGGAUGGGCUCACGGCCUAUCAGCUUGUUGGUGGGGUAAUGGCUCACCAAGGCGACGACGGGUAGCCGGCCUGAGAGGGUGACCGGCCACACUGGGACUGAGACACGGCCCAGACUCCUACGGGAGGCAGCAGUGGGGAAUAUUGCACAAUGGGCGAAAGCCUGAUGCAGCGACGCCGCGUGAGGGAUGACGGCCUUCGGGUUGUAAACCUCUUUCAGUAGGGAAGAAGCGAAAGUGACGGUACCUGCAGAAGAAGCGCCGGCUAACUACGUGCCAGCAGCCGCGGUAAUACGUAGGGCGCAAGCGUUGUCCGGAAUUAUUGGGCGUAAAGAGCUCGUAGGCGGUUUGUCGCGUCUGCUGUGAAAGCCCGGGGCUCAACCCCGGGUCUGCAGUGGGUACGGGCAGACUAGAGUGCAGUAGGGGAGACUGGAAUUCCUGGUGUAGCGGUGAAAUGCGCAGAUAUCAGGAGGAACACCGAUGGCGAAGGCAGGUCUCUGGGCUGUUACUGACGCUGAGGAGCGAAAGCAUGGGGAGCGAACAGGAUUAGAUACCCUGGUAGUCCAUGCCGUAAACGUUGGGCACUAGGUGUGGGGGACAUUCCACGUUUUCCGCGCCGUAGCUAACGCAUUAAGUGCCCCGCCUGGGGAGUACGGCCGCAAGGCUAAAACUCAAAGGAAUUGACGGGGGCCCGCACAAGCGGCGGAGCAUGCGGAUUAAUUCGAUGCAACGCGAAGAACCUUACCAAGGCUUGACAUUCACCGGACCGCCUCAGAGAUGGGGUUUCCCUUCGGGGCUGGUGGACAGGUGGUGCAUGGUUGUCGUCAGCUCGUGUCGUGAGAUGUUGGGUUAAGUCCCGCAACGAGCGCAACCCUCGUUCUAUGUUGCCAGCACGUGAUGGUGGGGACUCAUAGGAGACUGCCGGGGUCAACUCGGAGGAAGGUGGGGAUGACGUCAAAUCAUCAUGCCCCUUAUGUCUUGGGCUUCACGCAUGCUACAAUGGCCGGUACAAAGGGUUGCGAUACUGUGAGGUGGAGCUAAUCCCAAAAAGCCGGUCUCAGUUCGGAUUGAGGUCUGCAACUCGACCUCAUGAAGUCGGAGUCGCUAGUAAUCGCAGAUCAGCAACGCUGCGGUGAAUACGUUCCCGGGCCUUGUACACACCGCCCGUCAAGUCACGAAAGUUGGUAACACCCGAAGCCGGUGGCCUAACCCCUUGUGGGAGGGAGCCGUCGAACGGUGGAAACCGGA